UACGUAGGGACCGAGCGUUGUCCGGAUUCAUUGGGCGUAAAGAGCUCGUAGGCGGCUGCUCAAGUCGAAUGUGAAAACUCGAGGCUCAACCUCGAGCCUGCAUUUGAUACUGGGCGGCUAGAGUCUGGUAGGGGGAUCUGGAAUUCCUGGUGUAGCGGUGGAAUGCGCAGAUAUCAGGAGGAACACCGGUGGCGAAGGCGGGAUCCUGGGCCAGUACUGACGCUGAGGAGCGAAAGCGUGGGGAGCAAACAGG
rnacentral:rRNA from 1 species